CCACUCCCGACCCGCCAGCCCCUCGCCAGCCCAGCCCUCGGGCUCCCCCCCCACGCUCUGCUAGUGCCCCUCACUCCUAAUCCACAACUUCUUUUUAUUUUGGAUUAAAGCAUCUGAAUAAAUUUGAUUUCACCCUUUUCAGAGGGAUCUCUGGAGGAGCGGCAUCGAUCCAUUCCUGGUAGCUAGAAAGUUCCAUGAAUUUGUCGAGAAUGCUCUGGCCGAGGAGAGAAGAAACCCUGUUACCGGCAUUAGCAACGUUAGACUGAGCGACUUUGCAAAAUGCUCUGCCGUGCAGCUCAGCCUGGAGGUGGACGGCCAAGCUGUGUCUAUAGACCUGGUGCCCACCAUCCGGAAUAAAGUGGACAUGUCCAUGGAUUGGCCACGGCAGGAUCUCCGGUGGCUCUCCGACUGGUGGGACCGGGAGCAAGACACGGAGCGGAUCAACCCCACCUGGAAUAUCAUGGACAUUUACAAAACUGGGACCGAUCUGAUGGCCAAGAAUCUGUAUUGGAGGCUCACUUUCUCCCGGGCUGAGACCCGACUCCUCAGGGACAUUGACCUCGAUGGUGCUGGGUGGAGGCGGGAGGCCCUGCAGCUGCUGAAGCAAAUCAACAUGGAGAAGUGGGGGCCGCGGUACGGCAAAGACCUGACCUCCUGCCACCUGAAGAUUUUCCUGACCUGAGGGUUUCCAGAAGUUGACCUCUCUCCGACCACCGCCAACAGAAAGUGCACGAAAUUCUGUUCGAGAGGAGGUCUGGGUUAUCAAUCCUUGGGAGACGCCUUCCUCAUUCCUUGGACAAGAGCUCUUCUUCGUGCAUAUCCUCUGACACGAUCGAUUCUGAACGAGAUCAAACGAGACAGAGUCACUCUAGCUGCACCAACUCACUCGAGCCAGGUCUGGUUCUCUGACCUGAUUCAUCUCACUUCCGGUCCAGCUGCAGCGUCUGGUCGUUUCCUGUCUGCUGCCCCAGGACUCCAGUUGGUCUCUCCGCCCCAGAGUGGCCAUUCUCUGGUUCAGAGCCUGGCUUCUCAGUGGUUCUCAGGGACAGAGGUUUCCUGCUCAGCAGAGAUAAAACAGAUACAAAGAUCUCUACUAGCAGCACUUACCUUCAGAAAUGGAAGAGAUUUUACCCUUGGUGUCCCCAGUGACAGUUUUCACCUGUUCAUUCUUCCCUCUCCGAUGUUCUUGAUUAUGUGAUGAAUUUAGAGAAAUCAGGUCUUUCUGUGAGUCCCGUCGGAGUUCGUUUGGUGGCUAUUAGAGCCUCUCAUUGCCCUGUGCAAGGAUUUUCAGUCUUUGGUCCAAGAGGUGAAUCUAGUUGAACCGCUCAGUAAUAGUGACCAUAAUGCAAUUACAUUUAGGGGGAUCAUUAAAAACAAGACCCCACCACUGCAACAUUUAACUCUAAUGGGGGGAACGACACAAAAAUGAGGCAAUUCGUUAGAUGGAAAUUCAAAGGAGCUGUACAAGGGUGAAAUUCCUGCAAGCAACAUGGGGACUGUUUAAAAACACCAUAACAGAGGUGCAGACUAACCGUAUACCCCAAAUCCAAAAAGACAGUAAGAGGACCAGAAGAAUAGCACCCUGGCUCACGAGCAGAGGUGGAGCAAUGGAGAGAGGGAAACAACAGGGUACCCCAAGGAUCUGUACUGGGACCUGUGCUGCUCACCAUAUUCAUUAAUGA
rnacentral:lncRNA from 1 species